rnacentral:rRNA from 1 species
CCUACGGGGGGCUGCAGUGAGGAAUAUUGGUCAAUGGACGAAAGUCUGAACCAGCCAAGUAGCGUGAAGGAUGACUGCCCUAUGGGUUGUAAACUUCUUUUAUAAAGGAAUAAAACGAGGCACGUGUGCCUUUUUGCAUGUACUUUAUGAAUAAGGAUCGGCUAACUCCGUGCCAGCAGCCGCGGUAAUACGGAGGAUCCGAGCGUUAUCCGGAUUUAUUGGGUUUAAAGGGAGCGUAGAUGGGUUGUUAAGUCAGUUGUGAAAGUUUGCGGCUCAACCGUAAAAUUGCAAUUGAUACUGGCAGUCUUGAGUACAGUUGAGGUAGGCGGAAUUCGUGGUGUAGCGGUGAAAUGCUUAGAUAUCACGAAGAACCCCGAUUGCGAAGGCAGCUUACUAAACUGUGACUGACAUUGAUGCUCGAAAGCGCGGGUAUCGAACAGGAUUAGAUACCCCGGUAGUC